rnacentral:rRNA from 1 species
ACGCUGGCGGCACGCCUAACACAUGCAAGUUGAACGAAGUAGCAAUACUUAGUGGCAGACGGGUGAGUAACAUGUAGGUAUCUGCCCUUUGGCCUGGAAUAACACGAGGAAACUUGUGCUAAUACCGGAUAAGUCUUUACGGAGAAAGCUUUAUGCACCAUUGGAUGAGCCUGCACUUGAUUAGUUUGUUGGUGGGGUAAUGGCCUACCAAGACUGUGAUCAAUAGCUGAUUUGAGAGGAUGAUCAGCCACAUUGGGACUGAGACACGGCCCAAACUCCUACGGGAGGCAGCAGUGGGGAAUCUUGCACAAUGGAGGAAACUCUGAUGCAGCGAUGCCGCGUGAGUGAAGAAGGCCCUUGGGUUGUAAAGCUCUUUCGUCGGGGAAGAAAAUGACUGUACCCGAAUAAGAAGGUCCGGCUAACUUCGUGCCAGCAGCCGCGGUAAUACGAAGGGACCUAGCGUAGUUCGGAAUUACUGGGCUUAAAGAGUUCGUAGGUGGUUGAAAAAGUUAGUGGUGAAAUCCCAGAGCUUAACUCUGGAACUGCCAUUAAAACUUUUCAGCUAGAGUAUGAUAGAGGAAAGCAGAAUUUCUAGUGUAGAGGUGAAAUUCGUAGAUAUUAGAAAGAAUACCAAUUGCGAAGGCAGCUUUCUGGAUCAUUGCUGACACUGAGGAACGAAAGCAUGGGUAGCGAAGAGGAUUAGAUACCCUCGUAGUCCAUGCCGUAAACGAUGUGUGUUAGACGUUGGAAAUUUAUUUUCAGUGUCGCAGGGAAACCGAUAAACACACCGCCUGGGGAGUACGACCGCAAGGUUAAAACUCAAAUGAAUUGACGGGGACCCGCCACAAGUAGUGGAGCAUGUGGUUUAAUUCGAAGAUACGCGCAGAACCUUACCAACACUUGACAUGUUCGUCGCGACUCUAAGAGAUUAGAGUUUUCGGUUCGGCCGGACGAAACACAGGUGCUGCAUGGCUGUCGUCAGCUCGUGUCGUGAGAUGUUGGGUUAAGUCCCGCAACGAGCGCAACCCUCACUUUUAGUUGCCAUCAUUAAGUUGGGCACUCUGAAAGAACUGCCAGUGAUAAGCUGGAGGAAGGUGGGGAUGACGUCAAGUCCUCAUGGCCCUUACGUGUUGGGCUACACACGUGCUACAAUGGUAUCUACAACAGGAAGCAAGACUGCGAAGUUAAGCAAAUCCCUAAAAGAUACCUCAGUUCGGAUUGCACUCUGCAACUCGAGUGCAUGAAGCUGGAAUUACUAGUAAUCGUGGAUCAGCGUGCCACGGUGAAUGCGUUCCCGGGUCUUGUACACACCGCCCGUCACACCAUGGGAGUUGGUUCUACCUUAAGGCAAGGUUUCAAACCCUUGACCACGGUAUAGUCAGCGACUGGGGUGAAGUCGUAACAAGGUAGCCGUAGGGGAACCUGCGGCUGGAUUACCUCCUUUCU